rnacentral:rRNA from 1 species
AUGGCUCAGGAUGAACGCUAGCUACAGGCUUAACACAUGCAAGUCGAGGGGCAGCAUAAGAGUAGCUUGCUACUUUGAUGGCGACCGGCGCACGGGUGCGUAACACGUAUCCAAUCUACCCACGGCUCAGGGAUAGCCUUUCGAAAGAAAGAUUAAUACCUGAUGGUCUCCUUUAGGGACAUCCCUUUAGGAGUAAAGACUCAUCGGCCAUGGAUGAGGAUGCGUCCGAUUAGCUUGACGGCGGGUAACGGCCCACCGUGGCAACGAUCGGUAGGGUUCUGAGAGGAAGGUCCCCCACACUGGAACUGAGACACGGUCCAGACUCCUACGGGAGGCAGCAGUGAGGAAUAUUGGUCAAUGGUCGGAAGACUGAACCAGCCAAGUAGCGUUGAGGGAUGACUGCCCUAUGGGUUGUAAACCUCUUUUAUUGGGGAACAAAUUGGGCCACGUGUGGUCCUUUGCGUGUACCCUAUGAAUAAGCAUCGGCUAAUUCCGUGCCAGCAGCCGC